GAUCAUUACAUGGCGUGCAUUUUGCGCGCGGACACGCCUGGGCUUCGGCCUGGGUGUGCUCUCGUCCUUGCCUGUUUGUACCUUUUGUUGCUUCCUCGGCGGGAGUCUUCCCGCCGCUAGGAACCCCAAAAACACCUUGCAAUCAGCAGUUUAUUCUGAUAAAUACCUAAAUAUUUACAACUUUCAACAAUGGAUCUCUUGGUUCUGGCAUCGAUGAAGAACGCAGCGAAAUGCGAUAAGUAGUGUGAAUUGCAGAAUUCAGUGAAUCAUCGAAUCUUUGAACGCACAUUGCGCCCCUCGGUAUUCCGUGGGGCAUGCCUGUUCGAGCGUCAUUUACACCCUCAAGCUCUGCUUGGUGUUGGGCGUCUGUCCCGCGCGGCUUGCCCGCCCGGACUCGCCUCAAAGGUAUUGGCAGCGGUCUUGCCGGGCCUCCUAAUUGCGCAGCACUGUUCGCGCUUCCUGGAGUUCGCGCAAAAUCAGCGUCCAUCAAGCCCCAUCUUCUGAACUUGACCUCGGAUCAGGUAGGGAUACCCGCUGAACUUAAGCAUAUCAAUAAGCGGAGGAAAAGAAACCAACAGGGAUUGCCCUAGUAACGGCGAGUGAAGCGGCAACAGCUCAAAUUUGAAAUCUGGCUUUCUUUAGGGGCCCGAGUUGUAAUUUGCAGAGGGUGCUUUGGCUUUGGUAGCGGUCUAAGUUCCUUGGAACAGGACAUCACAGAGGGUGAGAAUCCCGUAUGUGAUCGCUCUCCAUCGCCGUGUAAAGCCCCUUCGACGAGUCGAGUUGUUUGGGAAUGCAGCUCUAAAUGGGAGGUAAAUUUCUUCUAAAGCUAAAUACUGGCCAGAGACCGAUAGCGCACAAGUAGAGUGAUCGAAAGAUGAAAAGCACUUUGGAAAGAGAGUCAAACAGCACGUGAAAUUGUUGAAAGGGAAGCGCUUGCAGCCAGACUUGCCCGUCGUCGCUCAUCUAGGCUUCUGCCUGGAGCACUCGAUGGCGGGCAGGCCAGCAUCAGUUUGGGCGGCCGGAUAAAGACCUCUGUCAAGUAUCUUCCUUCGGGAUGACCUUAUAGGGGAGGUGUAACACGGCCAGUCCGGACUGA
rnacentral:misc_RNA from 1 species